UGGGGAAUAUUGGACAAUGGGCGCAAGCCUGAUCCAGCAAUACCGCGUGUGUGAAGAAGGCCUGAGGGUUGUAAAGCACUUUCAAUGGGAAGGAACACCUAUCGGUUAAUACCCGGUAGACUGACAUUACCCAUACAAGAAGCACCGGCUAACUCCGUGCCAGCAGCCGCGGUAAUACGGAGGGUGCAAGCGUUAAUCGGAAUUACUGGGCGUAAAGCGUGCGUAGGCGGUUUUUUAAGUCAGAUGUGAAAGCCCUGGGCUUAACCUGGGAACUGCAUUUGAUACUGGGGAACUAGAGUUGAGUAGAGGAGAGUGGAAUUUCAGGUGUAGCGGUGAAAUGCGUAGAGAUCUGAAGGAACACCAGUGGCGAAGGCGGCUCUCUGGACUCAAACUGACGCUGAGGUACGAAAGCGUGGGUAGCAAACAGG
rnacentral:rRNA from 1 species